UACGAAGGGGGCUAGCGUUGUUCGGAAUCACUGGGCGUAAAGGGCGCGUAGGCGGUUGUUCAAGUCAGGUGUGAAAGCCUUGAGCUCAACUCAAGAAAUGCACUUGAUACUGGAUGACUAGAGGACCGGAGAGGAUAGUGGAAUUCCCAGUGUAGUGGUGAAAUACGUAGAGAUUGGGAAGAACACCAGUGGCGAAGGCGGCUAUCUGGACGGUUUCUGACGCUAAGACGCGAAAGCGUGGGGAGCAAACAGG
rnacentral:rRNA from 1 species